rnacentral:rRNA from 1 species
UACGGAGGGAGCUAGCGUUGUUCGGAAUUACUGGGCGUAAAGCGCGCGUAGGCGGUUUUUUAAGUCAGAGGUGAAAGCCUGGAGCUCAACUCCAGAACUGCCCUUGAAACUGGAAAACUUGAAUCUUGGAGAGGUCAGUGGAAUUCCGAGUGUAGAGGUGAAAUUCGUAGAUAUUCGGAGGAACACCAGUGGCGAAGGCGACUGACUGGACAAGCAUUGACGCUGAGGUGCGAAAGCGUGGGGAGCAAACAGG